UUUACUUCCCAAAUUCAUUUCUUUCAUUUUCAUUUUCUCUUUGCUUUUUGCUUUUCCAAUUAAUUUCUUACACAUCUUCACAACAAAAAUCAUGCUUCAAAGAAAAUCUGUUCUUAGCUGCUAAAAAAUAUAUUAAAAUUUCUGCAUAUAUAAUUGUAGUAAGAUUGUUCUGAUCACGUUCUGCAUAGACUGUAUCUUUUGUUUCUGAUUUUGUUCUACUAUCCAUCAAGGGCGAGGAUCUUUUUUGAAGCAAAUGAAAGUACUCAUGACUGUGUUGCUUGUGUAGUAUGCUCAAGAUUUUGAACAUUUCAAAACUUUGAGAAAGGGAAGGACGCUUACGGACUAGCUACAUUUGAAUUCUUCGAUCGAGAAAGUGUUCUAGGCUCAGACAUGACCUCACCUCUAGAGUUUGAUAGAAGAUCUUGAUCCAAGGGUGUGCACUCCAUCUCCAGGCUGCCAUGGGUCAUCUUAUUUGUUCUUGUCCAUCUUUCGGGCAAUGAAACAUUCUUUAUUUACUUUAUUUUUGGGUAUCACUUUAGAUAUGAUCUUUGUUAGUAGUUCUUGUACGAUGACUUUCGGGUCUUGGAAAUUUUAGUAAGUAGUUUGUUUGACUUCCGCAUUAAUAAUAAUUAGUCAUGAAUUAUUGUUAUUAUGUUGAAUUUAUAUUAAUAUUACCUUAAUAUUGACUAA